rnacentral:rRNA from 1 species
GCUAUACAUGCAAGUCGUACGCACUGGCCCAACUGAUUGAUGGUGCUUGCACCUGAUUGACGAUGGAUCACCAGUGAGUGGCGGACGGGUGAGUAACACGUAGGUAACCUGCCCCGGAGCGGGGGAUAACAUUUGGAAACAGAUGCUAAUACCGCAUAACAACAAAAGCCACAUGGCUUUUGUUUGAAAGAUGGCUUUGGCUAUCACUCUGGGAUGGACCUGCGGUGCAUUAGCUAGUUGGUAAGGUAACGGCUUACCAAGGCGAUGAUGCAUAGCCGAGUUGAGAGACUGAUCGGCCACAAUGGAACUGAGACACGGUCCAUACUCCUACGGGAGGCAGCAGUAGGGAAUCUUCCACAAUGGGCGCAAGCCUGAUGGAGCAACACCGCGUGAGUGAAGAAGGGUUUCGGCUCGUAAAGCUCUGUUGUUGGAGAAGAACGUGCGUGAGAGUAACUGUUCACGCAGUGACGGUAUCCAACCAGAAAGUCACGGCUAACUACGUGCCAGCAGCCGCGGUAAUACGUAGGUGGCAAGCGUUAUCCGGAUUUAUUGGGCGUAAAGCGAGCGCAGGCGGUUGCUUAGGUCUGAUGUGAAAGCCUUCGGCUUAACCGAAGAAGUGCAUCGGAAACCGGGCGACUUGAGUGCAGAAGAGGACAGUGGAACUCCAUGUGUAGCGGUGGAAUGCGUAGAUAUAUGGAAGAACACCAGUGGCGAAGGCGGCUGUCUGGUCUGCAACUGACGCUGAGGCUCGAAAGCAUGGGUAGCGAACAGGAUUAGAUACCCUGGUAGUCCAUGCCGUAAACGAUGAGUGCUAGGUGUUGGAGGGUUUCCGCCCUUCAGUGCCGGAGCUAACGCAUUAAGCACUCCGCCUGGGGAGUACGACCGCAAGGUUGAAACUCAAAGGAAUUGACGGGGGCCCGCACAAGCGGUGGAGCAUGUGGUUUAAUUCGAAGCUACGCGAAGAACCUUACCAGGUCUUGACAUCUUGCGCUAACCUUAGAGAUAAGGCGUUCCCUUCGGGGACGCAAUGACAGGUGGUGCAUGGUCGUCGUCAGCUCGUGUCGUGAGAUGUUGGGUUAAGUCCCGCAACGAGCGCAACCCUUGUUACUAGUUGCCAGCAUUAAGUUGGGCACUCUAGUGAGACUGCCGGUGACAAACCGGAGGAAGGUGGGGACGACGUCAGAUCAUCAUGCCCCUUAUGACCUGGGCUACACACGUGCUACAAUGGACGGUACAACGAGUCGCAAGCUCGCGAGAGUAAGCUAAUCUCUUAAAGCCGUUCUCAGUUCGGACUGUAGGCUGCAACUCGCCUACACGAAGUCGGAAUCGCUAGUAAUCGCGGAUCAGCAUGCCGCGGUGAAUACGUUCCCGGGCCUUGUACACACCGCCCGUCACACCAUGGGAGUUUGUAACGCCCAAAGUCGGUGGCCUAACCUUUAUGGAGGGAGCCGCUAAGGC